rnacentral:rRNA from 1 species
CAAAGGCCCCAAAGGAAGCCACGGCUAACUCUGUGCCAGCAGCCGCGGUAAUACAGAGGUGGCAAGCGUUGUUCGGUAUUAUUGGGCGUAAAGAGCACGUAGGUGGUUCUGUAAGUCAGAUGUGAAAGCCUUCUGUUCAAAGGAAGAACGGCAUCUGAAACUACAGAUCUUGAGUGUAGGAGGGGAGAGUGGAACUUCUGGUGGAGCGGUGAAAUGCGUAGAUAUCAGAAGGAACGCCGGCGGCGAAAGCGACUCUCUGGCCCGAAACUGACGCUGAGUGUGCGAAAGCUAGGGGAGCAAACGGGAUUAGAUACCCCGGUAGUCCUAGCCGUAAA